rnacentral:rRNA from 1 species
UAGGGAAUCUUCCACAAUGGACGCAAGUCUGAUGGAGCAACGCCGCGUGAGUGAAGAAGGUUUUCGGACCGUAAAGCUCUGUUGUUGGUGAAGAAGGAUAGAGGUAGUAACUGGCCUUUAUUUGACGGUAAUCAACCAGAAAGUCACGGCUAACUACGUGCCAGCAGCCGCGGUAAUCGUAGGUGGCAAGCGUUGUCCGGAUUUAUUGGGCGUAAAGCGAGCGCAGGCGGAAGAAUAAGUCUGAUGUGAAAGCCCUCGGCUUAACCGAGGAAUUGCAUCGGAAACUGUUUUUCUUGAGUGCAGAAGAGGAGAGUAGAACUCCAUGUGUAGCGGUGGAAUGCGUAGAUAUAUGGAAGAAUACCAGUGGCGAAGGCGGCUCUCUGGUCUGCAACUGACGCUGAGGCUCGAAAGCAUGGGUAGCGAACAGGAUUAGAUACCCUGGUAGUCCAUGCCGUAAACGAUGAGUGCUAAGUGUUGGGAGGCUUCCGCCUCUCAGUGCUGCAGCUAACGCAUUAAGCACUCCGCCUGGGGGAGUACGACCGC